AAAGUCGUAACAAGGUUUCCGUAGGUGAACCUGCGGAAGGAUCAUUACACUCAGUAGUUUACUACUGUAAAGGAGGCUGUUAGUCUGUAUAGCGCAAGCUGAUGAGCAGCGGGCCUCUUUUAUCUACCCUUGUCUUUUGCGUACCCACGUUUCCUCGGCAGGCUUGCCUGCCGAUUGGACAAACCUAUAACCUUUUUAAUUUUCAAUCAGCGUCUGAAAAACUUAAUAAUUACAACUUUCAACAACGGAUCUCUUGGUUCUG
rnacentral:misc_RNA from 1 species